AUUGAACGCUGGCGGCAGGCCUAACACAUGCAAGUCGAGCGGAUGAAGGGUGCUUGCUCCUGGUUUCAGCGGCGGACGGGUGAGUAAUGCCUAGGAAUCUGCCUGGUAGUGGGGGAUAACGUCCGGAAACGGGCGCUAAUACCGCAUACGUCCUGAGGGUGAAAGUGGGUGAUCUUCGGACCUCACGCUAUCAGACGAGUCUAGGUCGGAUUAGCUAGUUGGUGGGGUAAAGGCCUACCAAGGCGACGAUCCGUAACUGGUCGGAGAGGAUGAUCAGUCACACUGGAACUGAGACACGGUCCAGACUCCUACGGGAGGCAGCAGUGGGGAAUAUUGGACAAUGGGCGAAAGCCUGAUCCAGCCAUGCCGCGUGUGUGAAGAAGGUCUUCGGAUUGUAAAGCACUUUAAGUUGGGAGGAAGGGCAGUAAGUUAAUACCUUGCUGUUUUGACGUUACCAACAGAAUAAGCACCGGCUAACUUCGUG
rnacentral:rRNA from 1 species